UACGAGGGGGGCAAGCGUUGUUCGGAAUUAUUGGGCGUAAAGGGCGCGUAGGCGGUGCGGUAAGUCACCUGUGAAAACUCUGGGCUCAACUCAGAGCCUGCAGGCGAAACUGCCGUGCUUGAGUGUGGGAGAGGUGCGUGGAAUUCCCGGUGUAGCGGUGAGAUGCGUAGAUAUCGGGAGGAACACCUGUGGCGAAAGCGGCGCACUGGACCACAACUGACGCUGAGGCGCGAAAGCUAGGGGAGCAAACAGG
rnacentral:rRNA from 1 species